ACGGGUGAGUAACGCGUGGGAAGCUACCUUGUGGUAGGGGACAACAGUUGGAAACGACUGCUAAUACCCUAUGAGCCCUAUGGGGGAAAGAUUUAUCGCCAUGAGAUGUGCCCGCGUUACAUUAGCUAGUUGGUAAGGUAAUGGCUUACCAAGGCGACGAUCUAUAGCUGGUCUGAGAGGAUGAUCACCCUAACUGGGACUGAGACACGGCCCAGACUCCUACGGGAGGCAGCAGUGGGGAAUAUUGGACAAUGGGGGCAACCCUGAUCCAGCCAUGCCGCGUGUGUGAUGACGGCCUUAGGGUUGUAAAGCACUUUCAGCAGUGAAGAUAAUGACAUUAACUGCAGAAGAAGCCCCGGCUAACUUCGUGCCAGCAGCCGCGGUAAUACGAAGGGGGCUAGCGUUGUUCGGAAUCACUGGGCGUAAAGAGUACGUAGGCGGACUGAUAAGUUAGGGGUGAAAUCCCAAGGCUCAACCUUGGAACUGCCUUUGAUACUGUCAGUCUUGAGAUCGAGAGAGGUGAGUGGAACUCCGAGUGUAGAGGUGAAAUUCGUAGAUAUUCGGAAGAACACCAGUGGCGAAGGCGGCUCACUGGCUCGAUACUGACGCUGAGGUACGAAAGCGUGGGGAGCAAACAGGGAUUAGAUACCCUGGUAGUCCACGCCGUAAAC
rnacentral:rRNA from 1 species